GGCCUGAUGGUCUAGUAGUAUGAUUCCUUGUUAGGGUCGCCCAUCCGGGAAUUGAACCCGGUGGUCACGUGACAUCGAGGAGGUCCCGGGUUCAAUUCCCGGUUAGGCCC